UGGGGAAUAUUGCACAAUGGGCGCAAGCCUGAUGCAGCCAUGCCGCGUGUAUGAAGAAGGCCUUCGGGUUGUAAAGUACUUUCAGCGGGGAGGAAGGGAGUAAAGUUAAUACCUUUGCUCAUUGACGUUACCCGCAGAAGAAGCACCGGCUAACUCCGUGCCAGCAGCCGCGGUAAUACGGAGGGUGCAAGCGUUAAUCGGAAUUACUGGGCGUAAAGCGCACGCAGGCGGUUUGUUAAGUCAGCUGUGAAAUCCCCGGGCUCAACCUGGGAACUGCAUCUGAUACUGGCAAGCUUGAGUCUCGUAGAGGGGGGUAGAAUUCCAGGUGUAGCGGUGAAAUGCGUAGAGAUCUGGAGGAAUACCGGUGGCGAAGGCGGCCCCCUGGACGAAGGCUGACGCUCAGGUGCGAAAGCGUGGGGAGCAAACAGG
rnacentral:rRNA from 1 species